rnacentral:rRNA from 1 species
GACGAACGCUGGCGGCGUGCUUAACACAUGCAAGUCGAACGGAAAGGCCCUGCUUUUGUGGGGUGCUCGAGUGGCCAACGGGUGAGUAACACGUGAGUAACCUGCCCUUGACUUUGGGAUAACUUCAGGAAACUGGGGCUAAUACCGGAUAGGAGCUCCUGCUGCAUGGUGGGGGUUGGAAAGUUUCUGCGGUUGGGGAUGGACUCGCGGCUUAUCAGCUUGUUGGUGGGGUAGUGGCUUACCAACGCUUUGACGGGUAGCCGGCCUGAGAGGGUGACCGGCCACAUUGGGACUGAGAUACGGCCCAGACUCCUACGGGAGGCAGCAGUGGGGAAUAUUGCACAAUGGGCGGAAGCCUGAUGCAUCAACGCCGCGCGCGGGAUGACGGCCUUCGGGUUGUAAACCGCUUUCGCCUGUGACAAAGCGCGACUGACCGUACUGGUUAAACAACCCCGGCUAACUACGUGCCAUCAUCCGCUGUGACACUUCUGCGUGCGAGCGUUGCCCGGAUUUAUUGGCCGUAAAGGGCUCGUAGGUGGUUGAUCGCGUCGGAAGUGUAAUCUUGGGGCUUAACCCUGAGCGUGCUUUCGAUACGGGUUGACUUGAGGAAGGUAGGGGAGAAUGGAAUUCCUGGUGGAGCGGUGGAAUGCGCAGAUAUCAGGAGGAACACCAGUGGCGAAGGCGGUUCUCUGGGCCUUUCCUGACGCUGAGGAGCGAAAGCGUGGGGAGCGAACAGGCUUAGAUACCCUGGUAGUCCACGCUGUAAACGGUGGGUACUAGGUGUGGGGUCCAUUCCACGGGUUCCGUGCCGUAGCUAACGCUUUAAGUACCCCGCCUGGGGAGUACGGCCGCAAGGCUAAAACUCAAAGGAAUUGACGGGGCCCCGCACAAGCGGCGGAGCAUGCGGAUUAAUUCGAUGCAACGCGUAGAACCUUACCUGGGUUUGACAUGGAUCGGGAGCGCUCAGAGAUGGGUGUGCCUCUUUUGGGGUCGGUUCACAGGUGGUGCAUGGCUGUCGUCAGCUCGUGUCGUGAGAUGUUGGGUUAAGUCCCGCAACGAGCGCAACCCUUGUUCACUGUUGCCAGCACGUUAUGGUGGGGACUCAGUGGAGACCGCCGGGGUCAACUCGGAGGAAGGUGGGGAUGACGUCAAGUCAUCAUGCCCCUUAUGUCCAGGGCUUCACGCAUGCUACAAUGGCUGGUACAGAGAGUGGCGAGCCUGUGAGGGUGAGCGAAUCUCGGAAAGCCGGUCUCAGUUCGGAUUGGGGUCUGCAACUCGACCUCAUGAAGUCGGAGUCGCUAGUAAUCGCAGAUCAGCAACGCUGCGGUGAAUACGUUCCCGGG